CGGGAGCAUACGGGCCGAUUUCUUUUUAAGACAGACAGGAACAUGGGCAGGAUGUUUAUACUGUCAAAUGUAAACAUUUUCUCUAGCCUUCUUUAAAUAAAAAAUCAAGCAAAAAGCACCACAAGAGCCGCUAAUACCCAUUCUGGGGCUAUGCGUCCGUUUUAUGCGGCGCAAACUAUUUGUGAAUCUUUGUUUUAACAUAAAUGUGGAGAUGAAGCCGUAGACAAUUCUGUCUACUUUCUUUUGAAAAAAAUGCUGCCUCGGACCUGCACUUGCUUUGAGAAACUUUGCUAUAUGAAGACGGCUAAUCGAUCUGGCACAAAGUAAAACUAGUUUGAAGAGUGCAGAGGAGUCUUCGGGGUG
ensembl:lncRNA